rnacentral:rRNA from 1 species
AAUUCCUACGGGAGGCAGCAGUGGGGAAUUUUGGACAAUGGGCGCAAGCCUGAUCCAGCUAUUCCGCGUGUGGGAUGAAGGCCCUCGGGUUGUAAACCACUUUUGUAGAGAACGAAAAGACACCUUCGAAUAAAGGGUGUUGCUGACGGUACUCUAAGAAUAAGCACCGGCAAACUACGUGCCAGAAGCCGCGGUAAUACGUAGGGUGCGAGCGUUAAUCGGAAUUACUGGGCGAAAAGGGUGCGAAGGCGGUUGAGUAAGACAGAUGUGAAAUCCCGGAGCUUAACUCG